rnacentral:rRNA from 1 species
UACGGAGGAUCCAAGCGUUAUCCGGAUUUAUUGGGUUUAAAGGGUGCGUAGGCGGAAUAGUAAGUCAGUGGUGAAAGCCUGCAGCUUAACUGCAGAAUUGCCAUUGAUACUGCUAAUCUUGAGUACGUUUGAUGUGGGCGGAAUGUGUCAUGUAGCGGUGAAAUGCUUAGAUAUGACACAGAACACCGAUUGCGAAGGCAGCUCACAAAGCCGUAAACUGACGCUGAGGCACGAAAGCGUGGGGAUCGAAUAGG